GAUGAACGCUGGCGGCGUGCCUAAUACAUGCAAGUCGAGCGAACAGAUGAGGAGCUUGCUCCUCUGACGUUAGCGGCGGACGGGUGAGUAACACGUGGAUAACCUACCUAUAAGACUGGGAUAACUUCGGGAAACCGGAGCUAAUACCGGAUAAUAUAUUGAACCGCAUGGUUCAAUAGUGAGAGACGGCUUUGCUGUCACUUAUAGAUGGAUCCGCGCCGCAUUAGCUAGUUGGUAAGGUAACGGCUUACCAAGGCAACGAUGCGUAGCCGACCUGAGAGGGUGAUCGGCCACACUGGAACUGAGACACGGUCCAGACUCCUACGGGAGGCAGCAGUAGGGAAUCUUCCGCAAUGGGCGAAAGCCUGACGGAGCAACGCCGCGUGAGUGAUGAAGGUCUUCGGAUCGUAAAACUCUGUUAUUAGGGAAGAACAAAUGUGUAAGUAACUGUGCACGUCUUGACGGUACCUAAUCAGAAAGCCACGGCUAACUACGUG
rnacentral:rRNA from 1 species